rnacentral:tRNA from 1 species
GGUCGUUAGCUCAGUUGGUAGAGCAGUUGGCUUUUAACCAAUUGGUCGAAGGUUCGAAUCCUUCACGACC